UACAGAGGGUGCUAGCGUUGUUCGGAAUUAUUGGGCGUAAAGGGCGCGUAGGCGGUUUCGCAUGUCCGAUGUGAAAGCCCACCUCUUAAAGGUGGAAUUGCAUCGGAAACUGCGAGACUAGAGUGCCGGAGAGGGUGGUGGAAUUCCUGGUGUAGAGGUGAAAUUCGUAGAUAUCAGGAGGAACACCGGUGGCGAAGGCGGCCACCUGGACGGUUACUGACGCUGAGGCGCGAAAGCGUGGGGAGCAAACAGG
rnacentral:rRNA from 2 species